CCUGGCUGCGCUGCGCCUGCAGCCGCUCAGACUGCUCCCACAGAGCCUGAACAUCGUGAACAGAGCAAGCCAGGGAGUGCAUUUGUUUUUCAUUAAAGCAGCUAAAUGCGAUUUCGAUCUAUAUUCAAAUGACUGCAAUCCAGAGGGAGAGAUUAUUUGGAUGGGAGUUGGGAGUUCCUUGUAUUACAACACUCUUCAGAGUAUCGGUCUUUGUCAUACUAUACCAGCUAAAAUUCCAGUAGAAGCAAACAAUUAAGGUCUGAGCCAGCCAGAACACAACCUCAUUCAUUCACCGUGGGCCAGCAUUCACCCUUGCAUCUGUGUCCUCCCGCAGUGAAGCUGGAUCAGUCCAUGCACUGGAAGCAAAGGCAGGAGCAGUUCCCAUCAGGAGAGUGCAAAGCCUGAUGGAUCCUAUGUCUGUACACACUGCUAUGCCUACAGUUUGGAAAGCCCCAAAAACUUAGUGGCUUCUUCUUUACCUGAAAACUGUUGCUCAGCUGAGCCUGUCCUGUAACUGGGGACUGCCUCCUCCAGGGAUGUGUACACAAAACCCUGGAGGCAUUUCUGCACUUAGCAACUUCUCAACACCCACUGAAAUCACAUGGUUUUCCCCAGUGCUGCCUCAGACAGAGAAGGAAAGGGGCCAAACAUCGUCCUGCAAUAUUAAUGCCGUUUUCCAGCAAAAAUCCUAUUUGUGCUGCGCUGCAUGGGAGACUGACAGAAAUCAUCUUCCAAAUCUCUCAAACUUCCCUAUUAUUUCUUGCUGCAAGGCCUCUAGUUGGAUAGGACAAUACAAACAAGCUACUACAUAAGAUCUUCAUACACAAUGUUUCUCUUGGCAUAAACCAUUAAAAAAAAAGCAAGCUGGCAAACAGAAGUGACAUGGACGACACUGAAGCACUGAUGGAUCCUGGGACUUGCAA